UGUAAUCCUCACUCCCUUGUACAGAUAGGAAAAUGCUGGUUGAAUAAUCUAUUGAAGGGAAAUAGGAAGUUGAACAAUAUGUGGAGAAACAGGUUGCACGAUAGGUGGAGAAACAACAGGUUGCACGAUAUGUGGGGAACCAGGUUGAACAAUAGCCUCAAGUGCGCAGUAGGUAGGCUCGGCACUUGAGAAUAUUGGGCCCAGCCUGGGUUUCGACCCAGCCAGUCCAGCCCCAAGUGGAAGCUUUUGCACACUCCAUUACACCAGUUUUGGCUGUACUAGGAAGGAUGUAAAGUGGUGACACGCCCAAGAGAGAGCUGGGGCUAGACAGGAGCUGCUCCUAAAAGGAUGUCAAUGGACGUCUCUGUGCAAGAGAGUAAGCUGAGGCCUGCACAGUGAGAGGAACUAGCCAUGCAAAGAGCUGGGCGUGUCCAGCAGAGAAAACAGCAAGGGCAAAGGCCUUGAGGUGGGAGAGUAGAUGUGGGGUUUCAUGAACAUAAGGAUGGAACUCAGUGAGCAGUAGUAAGGAGACUGGAGAUGGUCAGCAGCUGGGGGUAGCAGGCUUUGCAGGUCUCGGCAAGGAGCUGGACUUUUAUUCUAGGUGUGAUGGGAAGUUGUGUUGUUAUGGCCACUGAAGGAGUUGCGUGGAUGGAGUUGGACCAGAGGGUGGGUGCCCUUCCUGCCUUGCCAGCCUUAGGUUCAAGGAGGAAGUUGAUUGCUUAGGCCUUAAGCUUGCCCCUCCUCAUCUGACCUCCUGGCUUCUAGGACAUUCCUGAGGACGUACACCAAGUCUCCAACAUUACCUGAUGUCAGAUCAGGUAAGCCCUCAUCUUAUAGAUAGGGCUAAGACUGAGGCCCUGACUUCAGGGAUGUGUCUUCACCUUUGAGUAGGAGAAGCAGGGGUGGUAUCUGCUUCAUCUACUCAUGUACCUGCAGCACCUAGCACAGGCUGACCAGCCCAUCCUUGGACCCAGGCAAGCGGGGCUCUGCCCUGGCCAGCCUCCAGCUGCGUACAUCCCCACAGGCUAGAGAGUCUGCAGUGCCAAGGGGAUAUACCCAUCCAAGUCUUUGCUCCUUGUCUAGAAUACUACAGAUUCCUAGGAUUCCUGAGCUCCCUACCUAAAAGUCCCAAGCCUGCUGCCAGGCCUCUUCCUGGUCUAUUGUCUGGAGGCAGAACACUAAGCCCAGGGUGUAGCCAAGGGGCACUGCAGAGGAUAGGGUGUGGAUGGAGAUUGGACCUGCAGCCUGGGAUGUCUACACACAUGCAGGUGAGGUGUGCACGGUACAGGAUGGAGCUGGGGAUGAGAAGGGAAGGUGGCAGUUUAUAGGCUGGGAAAUGAGCGACCAGGGAAUGGGGCUGGCUCUCCCCAGCACCGCCACAUUUCAGUGCGAGUAUCUAAGAAAUCCAAAUCAAUCCUGGCCUUUCAGGCUGCUGAGAAGUUAUACUUACUGAGGAGAAGGAUAGAACAUUUAAGAGAAGGUAUUGGUCUGAUUUAUAAUUUUUAAAUAUUUAGAUUUAAGGGUGAGUGGACACCAGCCUCCACCAAUAUCAAGAGUGUGUUUGGCCUAGACCCUAGGAGAUAUUCAAUAUUUAUCAAAUAGAUGGAUGAAUCUCAUUUAAUUUAAUCCUCACACAGACUCAACGGAGGGAAAUCACAUCGUCUGUGCUUUAUUGAUGAGGGAACUAAGGCUUGGAGAGAUUUAAUGACUGGCCUAUUUGUCAAGUUAGAAGUUUGUCUAGCAGAGCUGAGAGCCUCAAGCCCUAACGUGUCUGAUUCCAAAAUCCAUUGCAAUUGGUUCAUGACAAGUUCACUCCCAUUAUGACCACAUUAAAUAUAUUAUAACUGUUUGAGCAUGUCACUCGCUGAUCUUUGGGAACAUAAGCACUGUUUAUAUUACAUGAAAAAGGCCUUCUCUUCUUCAUUCUUACUCUACCCUCUCAGGCACCUUUGGGAAGUAGUAAGACAGGAGCUAAUGCUCCAUUUAACAAAUGGAAAACUGAGGACUGAGCAAUAGCCCAAGGUGUCAACGAGGCUUAAACAAAUAGGGAUUUUUUUUUUUUUUUUCAUGUAGCAAGAAAUCCGGAGGUAGCUGGGCAAGGGCUGGUAUAAUUUUUGCAUUAUUUUCAGCAAACAACUUCUGCCUCUUGGUCUCUUCUGGCUAUUUAUUGCUACAGCAUAACAAACUGCCCCCAAACAACAACCAUUGUAUCGUCUACAGUUUUGUGAGUCAGAAAUUUGCGCAGGGCUCAGCUGGGUGAUCCUUCAGUGAUCCAUGGAGCGCCGACUAGAGUCACUCAGUGAUCUUCAGCUGCUGAUUGUGCUAUGCUGGAGGAUCGAGAUGGUUUCACUCAGGUUCCUGGUGCUUUCGUGGGGAUGGCUGGAACACUGAGCUCAGCUGGGUCCGUCUGCCUCUCCAUGGAAUCCCAGGGCUUCUCCAGCCUUCCAGCCACACCGGCCGCCUUGCUGUUCAUCACAUUCACCAUUUCCCAUCCCUGGGCCUUCACGCUUGCUGUUUCCCUGUGACUGGACUGCUUUCCCCCAGGUUUCCAGUGAUCCAUCUCCUCACUUUCUUUGCCCCACUCCCUGCUGCGGUACCCCCCCACCCCAAGGGGCCCUCUAGGGUCAGGCCAUCUUCAACAGCAA
rnacentral:lncRNA from 1 species